CUGUCAGCCUGUAUAGUAUCACUACUGAUGAGCAGCGCGACCCUCUGUCUGUACCCUUGUCUUUUGCGUACUCAUGUUUCCUCGGCGGGUUUACACCCGCCGGCUGGACAACUCUAUAACCUUUUUAAUUUUCAAUCAGCGUCUGAAAAACAUAAUAAUUACAACUUUCAACAACGGAUCUCUUGGUUCUGGCAUCGAUGAAGAACGCAGCGAAAUGCGAUAAGUAGUGUGAAUUGCAGAAUUCAGUGAAUCAUCGAAUCUUUGAACGCACAUUGCGCCCCUUGGUAUUCCAUGGGGCAUGCCUGUUCGAGCGUCAUUUGUACCCUCAAGCUCUGCUUGGUGUUGGGUGUUUGUCCACUCCCUGGUGUUUGGACUCGCCUUAAAGCAAUUGGCAGCCAGUGUUUUGGUAUUGAAGCGCAACACAUUUUGCGAAUUCUAGC
rnacentral:misc_RNA from 1 species